rnacentral:rRNA from 1 species
AGAGUUUGAUCCUGGCUCAGGAUGAACGCUGGCGGUAUGCUUAACACAUGCAAGUCGAACGAAAGUUUUUAACUUUAGUGGCGAACGGGUGCGUAAUACGUGAGAAUCUGCCCUUAGGAGGAGGAUAACUGCUGGAAACGGCUGCUAACACUCCAUAUGUCGAGAGAUGAAAUAAUUUAUUGCCUAAGGAUGAGCUCGCGCCUGAUUAGCUAGUUGGUGAGGUAAUGGCUCACCAAGGCCACGAUCAGUAGCUGGUUUGAGAGAACGAUCAGCCACACUGGGACUGAGACACGGCCCAGACUCCUCCGGGAGGCAGCAGUGAGGAAUUUUCCGCAAUGGGCGAAAGCCUGACGGAGCAAUACCGCGUGAGGGAUGAAGGAUUUUGGUCUGUAAACCUCUUUUCUCAAGAAAGAAGUUCUGACGGUACUUGAGGAAUAAGCAUCGGCUAACUCCGUGCCAGCAGCCGCGGUAAUACGGGGGAUGCAAGCGUUAUCCGGAAUCAUUGGGCGUAAAGCGCCUGUAGGUUGUUUAAUAAGUCUGUUGUUAAAGACUAGGGCUNAACCCUAGAAAAGCAAUGGAAACUACUAGACUAGAGUAUGGCAGGGGUAGAGGGAAUUUCUAGUGUAGCGGUGAAAUGCGUAGAUAUUAGAAAGAACACCGGUGGCGAAAGCGCUCUACUGGACCAUUACUGACACUCAGAGGCGAAAGCUAGGGUAGCAAAAGGGAUUAGAUACCCCUGUAGUCCUAGCCGUAAACGAUGGAUACUAGAUGUUGNGCNUANUGUNCAGUAUCGUAGCUAACGCGUUAAGUAUCCCGCCUGGGGAGUACGCUCGCAAGGGUGAAACUCAAAGGAAUUGACGGGGGCCCGCACAAGCGGUGGAGCAUGUGGUUUAAUUCGAU